rnacentral:rRNA from 1 species
AUUGAACGCUGGCGGCAGGCCUAACACAUGCAAGUCGAGCGGAGCGGCGGACGGGUGAGUAAUGCCUAGGAAUCUGCCUGGUAGUGGGGGAUAACGUCCGGAAACGGGCGCUAAUACAGCAUACUAUCAGAUUAGCCUAGGUUGGAUUAGCUAGUUGGUGGGGUAAAGGCCUACCAAGGCGACGAUCCGUAACUGGUCUGCGAGGAUGAUCAGUCACACGGGAACUAAGACACGGUCCAGACUCUUACGGGAGGAAGAAGGGGGGAAGAUUGGACAAUGGGCGAAAGCCGGAUGCAGACAUGCCGCGGGUGUGAAGAAGGUCUUGGGAUGUUAAAGCACGUGAAUUUGGGAGGCGUUACCAACAGAAUAAGCGCCGGCUAACUACGUGCCAGCAGCCGCGGUAAUAC